GUGCUGGCUUUGGCAGCACACACACUAAAAAGUGGAACAAUACAGAGAUUGACAUGGCCCCUUGCAUACGGAUGACAUGCAAGUUCAUGAUACAUUCUGAACCUUA
rnacentral:snRNA from 1 species